UACGUAGGGGGCUAGCGUUGUCCGGAUUUAUUGGGCGUAAAGAGCGUGUAGGCGGCCAGGUAGGUCUGCUGUGAAAACUCGAGGCUUAACCUCGAGAUGUCGGCGGAAACCAUCUGGCUAGAGUCCGGAAGAGGAGAGUGGAAUUCCUGGUGUAGCGGUGAAAUGCGCAGAUAUCAGGAAGAACACCCGUGGCGAGGGCGGCUCUCUGGGACGGUACUGACGCUGAGACGCGAAAGCGUGGGGAGCGAACAGG
rnacentral:rRNA from 1 species